UUGUUACUAUUUUGUAAAAGUACUUCACACCUAAAAUGUUACUUUGACAAGUUACUUUGAUGAAAGUGGUGUAAAGUUUCAAUUAGUCCCAUGUUUUUUUGGUAAUAAAUGUACAUAUUAUAUUAAACCAAUACACCUAGAGAGCACCUAUUACUAUGGUUAGUGAGAGGUUGAGGCUAUAUACAAUAGACAAACAUGUAUCACACAUUUAUCAACUUACAAUAUACAUCACAUACAUAUCUGAUAGGUUUUUGGCUCACACUAAAAAGUUUCUAUGGACAUGUUAAGCAGCAAGUGGAGUAUAAGCCAUGGGAUGCUGGUUGCAGGAAGUUCUUCUCUUGCUUGAAGAACCCAAGUCUGGACGCUGUACUAACUCAUGAACUUGGUUACUGGGUAAACCGGCUUGUUGACAAGUAGCAGCUGCAUUAACCGAGUGCUGCGACUCAUUCAACUUCUGGGUUAUCCCUUUACAAAAUUGCAACUGCUGGCAUACUGCCCACCAAGCUAACAGAGAAACUAUUGUGGCUUCAAGCAGCCUAUACUUUGUCCACAUUUGCAGGUGAUGUAGGAUUCUGAGAGGGGAUGGAAGUAGUCUUAAAAAAUGUUUCUUUCUAGUGUAUGAUGAACUACAGGUCCUCUCUGUAGCAAAGUUUCAUUUAUAUUUUAAGUGUCGUUUCUGCCAACUCUUCUUUUGUGGGACGUUAUCUCUAAUUGUUAAGUCCCUGGAAGUUCUAUGUAUUCAGUAAUUGAAGUCUUCUAAUAUGUACCCCUUCUACCUGUGC